rnacentral:rRNA from 1 species
UCGAGAGUUUGAUCCUGGCUCAGGAUGAACGCUAGCGGCAGGCUUAACACAUGCAAGUCGAGGGGUAUAGUUCUUCGGAACUAGAGACCGGCGCACGGGUGCGUAACGCGUAUGCAAUCUACCUUUUACAGAGGGAUAGCCCAGAGAAAUUUGGAUUAAUACCUCAUAGUAUUUUCGAAUGGCAUCAUUUGAUUAUUAAAGUUCCAACGGUAAAAGAUGAGUAUGCGUCCCAUUAGCUAGAUGGUAAGGUAACGGCUUACCAUGGCAACGAUGGGUAGGGGUCCUGAGAGGGAGAUCCCCACACUGGUACUGAGACACGGGACCAGACUCCUACGGGAGCAGCAGUGAGGAAUAUUGGUCAAUGGGCGCAAGCCUGAACCAGCCCAUGCCCGCGUGCAGGAUGACGGUCCUAUGGAUUGUAAACUGCUUUGU